CCCGCCGUGGGUGGCGGGCGGCGACCGGAGCGUGUUCGUGCCGUUGGGAGCCGGUGGCCAACGGACCACCCCGGUCCCGUCCCGGGCGGUGGGC
rnacentral:tRNA from 1 species